GGCGGUAUAGCUCAUUGGUAGAGCAUGUGCUUAUUAGUGUGUAUGAUGUCCUGGGUUCAAUCCACAGUGCCUCCA
rnacentral:tRNA from 1 species